CCCCAUUUCUCCAUCAGUAAAAAGAAGACAAUGACAAUGAUCAUUCAUGAUGAUAGAGAAGUAAACACAUCCAUUCGUGCUUGGUACCAUGAAUGGCACAAAAUAAAAGAUCUGCGGCUAUAGAACCCUUCUCCAUGACAUUUUCACAGAACACACUAUUUAAGAUUUACAUCAUUUCAUCACUCAAGGCAUACAGUUGCCCUGCUAAAGACGAAAUUUCCCAGCCUCCCUUGUGAAUAGGUGUGGUCAUGUGACUAAGUUCUCACCAUUACGAUGUGCAUAGCAUUGAAUGGGUAACUUCUAGGUCCUUUUAAAAAAUGCUUUUCUGGAACUUGUUUUUCUUCCCUUUCCUUUCUCCAGGCUUAAGUGGAAAUUACUAGAACAAUCCCAUAAGUAUCAUGUUAAAGUUAGC